GAUGAACGCUAGCGGCAGGCCUAACACAUGCAAGUCGAGGGGUAGAGUGCUUCGGCGCUUGAGACCGGCGUACGGGUGCGUAACGCGUGUACAAUCUACCUUUUGCUAAGGGAUAGCCCGAAGAAAUUUGGAUUAAUACCUUAUAGUAUUAUUGGAUGGCAUCAUUUAAUAAUUAAAGCUACGGUGGCAAAAGAUGAGUACGCGUCCCAUUAGCUAGUUGGAGUGGUAACGGCACACCAAGGCUACGAUGGGUAGGGGUUCUGAGAGGGAUGUCCCCCACACUGGUACUGAGACACGGACCAGACUCCUACGGGAGGCAGCAGUGAGGAAUAUUGGACAAUGGUCGGAAGACUGAUCCAGCCAUGCCGCGUGCAGGAUGACGGCCUUAUGGGUUGUAAACUGCUUUUGUAUGGAAAGAAUAAGAUUUACGUGUAGAUUGAUGACGGUACCAUACGAAUAAGCAUCGGCUAACUCCGUGCCAGCAGCCGCGGUAAUACGGAGGAUGCGAGCGUUAUCCGGAAUCAUUGGGUUUAAAGGGUCCGUAGGCGGGCUUAUAAGUCAGAGGUGAAAGCACUGAGCUCAACUGAGUAACUGCCUUUGAAACUGUAGGUCUUGAAUGGUUGUGAAGUAGCUGGAAUGUGUAGUGUAGCGGUGAAAUGCAUAGAUAUUACACAGAACACCGAUUGCGAAGGCAUGUUACUAACAACUUAUUGACGCUGAUGGACGAAAGCGUGGGGAGCGAACAGGAUUAGAUACCCUGGUAGUCCACGCUGUAAACGAUGGAUACUAGCUGUUUGGUAGUAAUAUUGAGUGGCUAAGCGAAAGUGAUAAGUAUCCCACCUGGGGAGUACGCACGCAAGUGUGAAACUCAAAGGAAUUGACGGGGGCCCGCACAAGCGGUGGAGCAUGUGGUUUAAUUCGAUGAUACGCGAGGAACCUUACCAAGGUUUAAAUGGGAAACGACGUAUCUAGAGAUAGAUAUUUCUUCGGACGUUUUUCAAGGUGCUGCAUGGUUGUCGUCAGCUCGUGCCGUGAGGUGUCAGGUUAAGUCCUAUAACGAGCGCAACCCCUGCUGUUAGUUGCUAGCGAGUGAAGUCGAGCACUCUAACGGGACUGCCGGUGCAAACCGUGAGGAAGGUGGGGAUGACGUCAAAUCAUCACGGCCCUUACA
rnacentral:rRNA from 1 species